GACUCGAUGGAAAUGUACCCAACUAUGGGAGGCUUAGUGGAUAUACCCAACUGAUCAGUGGUUGUACAAUAGGUACCAUACCCGGCCGACUAUAAUGUUGCUCGGUGUAGUAAUUCCCCUAGUGGCACCCAUACUAAUUCCCCUAGUGGACGAACCAAUCCCCUUAACCAAUCAUCAUCUACUUGAUUAAUUUUAACACAUUCAAGAAUAUAAUGAUAAUAUAAAAUCUCCAAACUAUCUAAUCAUGCUAUAAAUAAAUAAUGGUGCGAAAGUCCUAAAUAUUACAACCCCAAAAUUCGAAAGUCAUCGCACAAGGACUCUAAAACAUAACGGUCUAAAAUAAUCAUAAAUGUUUGAAAUGAAAUACACAUCCAAAAUAAGAAAGAUCUUUAGGCGGCCUGGCAUGGAUAGGAGCUCACCCUCAAAUCUGUCAAAAACUGGCCUCACGCUAAAUAUGAGGCCUGGUAGACGUCUCUGGAUCCCAAUCUACACUCAAAGGAAUGCAGCAAGGUAGCAUCAGUACAAACACUAUGUAUCGGUAGAUAUCAUAGGCCGACUAAGAUUAGCAUCAUGCAUACAAUCAUAAAAUCAAUAGAAUAGACACAUGGGCACAACAGCAUAUAGCCAUAUGAAACUAUCAAAAAGAAUCACCCAACACCGAAAUAAGAUAAGCCCACACAAACAACAAUCAAUAAAAGUAACUCAACCCGUGUCAUUACCAACAUAACCAUAACACACGAAUUUUCUCAACUCUAUCACGUAUCCGUACACACAUGCUAAGUGGUAUUGUUUGCCCAAAUAGCUAUGACCUGCAGGGGACCCAUGGUGUCCAUGUACCACUCACUUCAGAACUGACCUCGGAUCACGAGCCCAUAACUAGGCUCCAUCCUCACCCCCUGUCAAAUGUGUCUUUUCAUAUUUAUAAUAUUUUUCUCAUCACAAUGUAUUUCCGUUCCACAAUCAAUAAAGGAUGUGAACAAUCAAUAAAUCAAUAUCAAGGAACACAUGUCACAAUAUCACAAGUCAUAUCAAGACUCAAGAAUCAAUUCAGCAAUAGCAUGAUUAAGGCAGUACUUCAAGUCAACAAGAAGAGUAUUCAUUAACUCCUUCUUGAUCAUAACAUAAUAGUUCAUCACAUAAUAAAUUAAUCAAUGUCAAACUUAGGAAUUUCCAACCACACUUUAUGUCCAAAGCCCUAAUCAUGCUUCUCCUAUCAAUUUCAUAACAUAUACAGUCAACUAAUACAAGUCUAACUCAAGUAGACCGUAACCUACCUCAAAGUCGAACUAGAACAAUGCAAUCACUCUGCAAUAGCCUUCUCCUUUCGCAAAGCUUUAGAACGUUCAAAGUCUAGCAAUCAUAACAUUAAGUGAGUAAUGGAUCAUCUACUCAAACAAACAAUAAUUGGGGAAGAGAACCCAACUACUUCUACCCUUUUGAAAUGGGUGAACUACCACUAAGUGUGAAUUCAUACUAACAUCAAUCCCAAUAAUCCUAUUCUAUCUAUUCAUGGGUUUUCCACUCAAUUCAACCCCUUUCAAUCAGUUUUUAGGCUAAAGCUUCCAUUUUUAUUGGAACCCUAAGUCUCAAUCAACAAUUUCCACCAUUAACAACCAAUUUCUCACCCUCGGAAGUGAUAAUCUAUGCUUCUCGACGAUUAAACAAAUAAUAAAAUCAAUAGCCCAUUAAUUAUUCAAGGGUUUACAGUUUCUAGGGUUCUAAAAUUUUCUUCCACCAUUAAAGGACCCUUAAUUCAUGUAGGACUUAAGAAGAUGAUGGAAUGAACAAAGUAAAGGGUUGAGACUUACCUUUCAAGAGCGUUUUAGCCCUAGCCUUAGAAAUUUUCCACAAGAGUUCUUGGGAACUAUUUUGGAGUUAUGUAGGGAAUGGGUUCAGAAUAAAGAAUAUAAAACACUGAUUUUGCCUCCCGUCUAUCACUGCAGCGGUCAAUGUCUCGCUAUAGCGGGAAAUCUCCUGCUAUGGCGGACCUCAUUAACUCUUCCUGGCGCCCGGCGGUGAUCCACCACCAGCUACGACUGACUCACUACGAUCCCACAGCCACUGCAGCGGUAUAUUUUGACCAGUAGCUCUGGUUUUUCCACCAGUUUUCACCCAAAAAUCCCAACACCAAUCCAAGGCCCUACAGAUGCAAACCUAACAUGCACAUAUACAUAAAAACAUGCUAUGGAGUCACCCGCGACCUUGGAAUUCCCAACGGAGGUCUAGUUUUCUAAGUUACCCCCAUAACAACCUAGCGGGUCGUUACAUCAGAUAUCAAACGGGGUGUAACACAUCGCUUGUAAGGUAGACAUUCUUUUUAUAUGACAACCAUGUAAGGUCCAAUAUGUACAUAUAUAUGAUACUCAAGUAACCCUGUGAGGCAUAUAAGUCAAGUUUUAGCUGAUUGCAAGUUCAAGGUAGUGCCCACAUAUAGGGAAAAAUCUAUCAAAAAUUAGUAGAGAGACCUUCCCUGUAUACCUCUACAUUCGAGGACGAAUGUUCUUGGGGGGGGAGGGAGAUUACACCUCGUACUUUUGUACGCUAAGCUAUGUCAAAAGUUAAUCGACGUAAGCUCAGAGAAUAAGAUUAUUAUUAAGAUUACUACUGCUUAAACCAUGUUUAACAAGUGUUAAGUAAGUUCCGUGGAGAUUAGAGGUCAAGCAAAUCGAAGGGAUUAAGUUUCGUCAAGAUCCUAUGCUUGGAUAGUAAUUACGGCAGAAUUUGUCUCAAAUUUUCGGUGAUUUAUCUCCAAGCAUAUGAUGAGUUAUGGUGUGCAUUAACUAUCCAAAUUCAAGUUCAUCGAUUCUAGUUUCUAACGAAAUAAACCGUUCGUUAAUCGGAGCUUUGCAUAAAAAGUUAUGUACGUUUUAAGAAAGCGCUGCAGAGUAGACUCGAAAAAUGGUGGGAAGUACGGACCGUUUUUAUAAAAACAGCCCAUUUUCUAGGCCGUGUUUUGAGGCGGUGGUAGCCCAUUGUUUUUAUGUAUUUAAGAUGGUGGCCAUGCUUUGGGGCCUCAUUUCACACCUAACCUGAUCCUAAUACACCAUAAAAGCUCUCUAGAUAGUAUCCCUUCCAUCCCAAGCUAAAUCUACAAGGUUAAGACACCAUUCUAGCCUUGGGAAGUUCAUAAAGGUUGUGUAUUUCCUUCUCUCAUCUUGUUGUCUAAUUGGAAGAUCUUUGGGGUGAAGUAAAAUUGAAUAAGAUAUUGUCCUUGCUAAGUUGAGGUAAAUUUCCCUCUUCUUAAGAGUAUCUAAAAUUUAUCUAUGUCAUAGUCAACUUGCUAAAGGGAUAAAUGUGAAUUUACAUCGGAAGAUCGUACAUGCUGUUGUUCUUGUCUUAUGGACAGAUUGAUGGUUGGUCUGAGUUAGGUGGUGGUUGAAUAUCGAUAGAUUGGAUGUGUCGUUGUUAUUCUUGUUGCUUUGAGUUUAUGGGAUGUGAAAGAAACAGGGAAAAUGUUGCCCGAUUCAUUACAGAACGAGCGUGCAGCUCGAUAUACAUAAGAUACUAAUAUUUCCCUAGCUUAAUAAGAAUGUUAUCAUUGUUAUAGGUUGAAGUGCUACAUGGACUUAUUGGAUUGUGUUAUCUAAUGACUCAACAAAGGUAUGUAAGAUUGGGAUCCACAGACGUCUACCAAACCUCAUAUUUAGUGUGAGGCCAGUUUUCAACAGAUUUGAGGGUGAGCACCUAUCCAUGCCAGGACGCCUGAAUAUCUUUUUUAUUUUGGAUGUCUAUUUCACUUCAGACAUUUAUGAUUAUUUCAGACAGUUGUUCAUUCUUCAGACAAUUAUGUUUUAGAGUUCUUGUACGAUGGCUUUUAGAUUUUGGGGUUGUAAUAGUCAGGACUCCCGCACCUUUAUUUAUUUAUGGCAUGAUUAGACAGUUUGGAGAUUUUUAUUAUCAUUA